ACAAGGUGAAAAAUAAGAUAAAAGACAAAGUGGCUAACUUAUUUACUUACUUACUAAACGACAAGGUGAACGAUAAGAUGAAGAAUGAAGUGAAUGACAAUGUUAAUGACUAGAGAACGAGCAUAUGAGCGACACGGGUAACGACAAGGUACACUACAAAGUGAACGAGAAUAUGAAAGAGAAUAUUGUCAAGAGACUGAGCAGAUGAACGACAGGGAAGUAUCGGCUGAAUAACAUCCCAUGCAGUAAUGAGUUCAUCUAAGCGAUUUCUGAAACGAUUACAUGUAACAUAAAAGAUGAAUAAAAAAGGUU